CUACACAAACACACACUUAUCAGGUCGUCCAGCUGUCUGGCUCAACCGGGUCUGUAGAGGUGGAGAUAAACUGCCUCAAGGGCACGAGGCGGUGGAGGUCGGAGAACAAGCGUCUGAUCAUCAGUUGUUUUUUCUCCACUUUCCGUUUGAACACACACCUCUACAUGUGUGACACUGUGACAUAUACCAAUGAGCCGCAUUAUGGAUCCACAAGAAACCUGAUGGUGUAUUUUGUUGGUAGUAGGUCUGUCACUGCUGUUGCAUCAUCUUUAAUGUUUUUCACUAACUUGAUUUCUUUUAGUAGGAAAGGAACAGAGUGGUGACUUACUCCCCCCUUCUUGGAUGUAGAGUUUCUCGGUGAAGAACAGAUGGAUUUGACCAGUUUCUCCAUUGAGAACAUGGCUUGAACUGCAUCUGUGUGGCAAACAAACAGGAGGACAAUUAGUUUCUCUAAGAGCAAAGAAACACCAGUUUGUCACUAAUGAGUCAAAGCAAAGCUGAUAGAUGUGAAUCUGCAGAUUGGGAAAACGCCUGAAUUUAAAUAGAUUUCCCAUGAACAUUAAAACUGGAUCGUGGUCAAUCUGUGUCUCGCAGGCUGGACGUGUUAUAAGACUUGUUUAAAUACCAGCUAUUGUUCCUGUGCAGCUCUGCCCUUCCUGUACCCACUUCAGUGCUGGAGUCAGUUUGCUUUCAGCCUUACACAAGACAUGUAUCUUGCUUUCCGAGCUCUGGUUGGGUUCUUCCUCCAGCUGAGACAAUGCAGGGGGGUGAUGGAACGAUAGAACUGCCUGGAGCUCCUCUACGUUCCUGCUGUUAUAGACCUGACUGAUUCUAUCUUGGUCACUUUCCUCUGGAUGUGAGGUCCUCACUUCCCAUCAUGCUUGUCUGCUAUUCUGAGAAUAUAUGCUGCCCUCUACUGAGAACUCCGGUGCACUGCACCCCUCAUCCAGGGAAGAGGAUAUUCAUACCCCCGGGGAAUGGGAGUGGGAUUUCCUGCGACACAUCUACGCCCAUGGAACGGGUACUUUGCCAACUGCUUUUGUUGUGCCUGCCUGCUGGGCACACACACACACACACACACACACACACACACACACACACACUGACACACACACACACACACAUGCUGACAGGCACACACACCUUUUCCUUCCUCUCUUCUGGCCUGUUAGCAGUGACAUGGAGAGACGUGUUUAUCUGUUUGACCCCCUGGUCAAAUGAGGACUCGAGCAGAAAGUGAAGCAGCAUCGCCCUCACACAUCCUGCAACAUCGUUAUAAAUACUAACACAACAACAAAACACUAAAAUCGGAUGAAAAUAAACUGCUAAUAAACCCUCUCAUAAAACAUAUAAGUGUAAUUGGUCAUACAAGACAACAACUGCACGGCCUACCAUAUAACAAUAAACAUGAAGAUGUACAAAAUGUGCAAAGCAUCAUAAUAAACCAGCCUGUUGCAUUAGUUUGAGAGGAACUCACCUCUUCAGUCCGACAGCGUCCACACUGUUUGUUUUUUUCCAGUCUUUGCUCCCUUCAUACGAGUGAGGAUGAUUUCUCUGUCAGCUUCGGUGAGUUAUGGGGGGUGGUCAGAGCUUCCUGUAUCUUUCCCAUUGGUCACAAGGAGAGCGCUCCAGGGCCCGGGCUGAGCACAGCAGUGAGACACAGUGUGCGUGUGUAUUUGUGCCUGUGCAUGUGUGUGUGUGUGUGUGUACGGAGAUAGGAUCAAAAACAACAGCACAGUAUUUAGUGCUCUGAGAUUUGCUUUGACUUCACAGCAGUAAAUAAGUAGUGUGGUUUUCAUCAGUGACCUCGGUGACUGACCACUGACACAGUCUGAAGCGCUGCCUGGAAGCAGAGUUUUCCACGCUCUGCAUUAUGUGUGUCAUUGUCGUUUCAUAAUGAAUCUGUAAAACAUUGCCUCCAGUUAAUAAUAGCAUUUUUCUUUAAUAUUUCCUGCUGGGAAAAACUAUAUUCUUGCCUGAUUUCAUCUACCUAGGGUCUAAUUUAGAUGUGAUAUAUUAUUUGGAGCGAUUUGUCUGUCUUUUGUUUUCUUUCUUUCUUCCUGACUGAGUCUUGUGUUCGAGGAAAAUGCUUUGAUGGCUAUUUAUGACCUCACGAGUGAUCAAUCUACAUCCACUUUUUAACUUCAUGCUAAGUUAACUCCUGCACUGACCCCGAACAUACAGUCGGUCAUCAAAAGUGACCUCCUGCAGCAAAGGGUCUGACCCACAGAGGCCUGAUGAAGAGACAGGAGACACCGUGACAUCCUGAGCACAGAGGAGCUGUUCUCCAACAUGCUACGAUCAACACGUCUGCAAAGGGCCGUGGAAAAUGCACAAAUGCACCGAGGAGGACUAGUUCCGUUUAGAAGGCAGAUGAUAAUAAAUCCCAUGAGCAGUUAUCCUGGGAAAAGAUCAUGUCCAUACGUGUGUGGCGUUAAACCCGUCCCACCCCAGUAUGUUUUACACAUAUCUUUGUCAACUUCUUUAUGUCACUGAAAGGUAAAAGGGAAAAGGUUUUAAAAGAUGUACUCAUCCAUAGUGAAGCCUUUUAACUGUUUAGUAUAUU